rnacentral:rRNA from 1 species
AAUAGAUACCCCGGUAGUCCUGGCCCUAAACGAUGUCGACUAGAUCGUAGUGCCUUUGACGGUAUUACGGUCGAAGCAAAAGUGCUAAGUCGACCGCCUGGGAAGUACGGUCGCAAGGCUAAAACUCAAAGGAAUUGACGGGGGCUCACACAAGCGGUGGAGCAUGUGGUUUAAUUCGAAGCAACGCGCAGAACCUUACCUGGGCUUGACAUGCCAGGAUUAUCCCCAUGAAAGUGGGUACGCCUCGCAAGAGGUGGAACUGGUACAGGUGCUGCAUGGCUGUCGUCAGCUCGUGUCGUGAGGUGUCGGGUUAAGUCCCUUAACGAGCGAAACCUUUGCCCUUAGUCACCAGCGGGUUAUGCCGGGGACUCUAAGGGGACUGCCGGUGUCAAACCGGAGGAAGGUGGAGAUGACGUCAAGUCCUCAUGGCCUUUAUGCCCAGGGCCACACACGUGCUACAAUGGGGUGCACAGAGCGAACCUAAAGCGCGAGCUCAUGGAAAUCGCAGAAAUCACCCCCCAGUUCAGA